rnacentral:lncRNA from 1 species
AGACGUAUGCAGUUUUUUUGUUUUUGUUUUUUUAAUUUUAUUUCAUUUGGCAGGGCGAAGUCUUAGUUGUGGCAUGUGGGAUGUUUGAUCUUCACUGUGGCUUGUGAAAUAUUUAGUUGUGGCAUGUGGAAUUUAGUUCCCUGACCAGGAAUCGAACCUGCCUUGGGAGCGCAGUCUUAGCCACUGGACCACCAGGGAAGUCCGUGUACUGGUUCUUAAUGAGAUCAAGAGGGUAAGCUUCUGUGCAGUUCAUUUAGACUGGAAGACAGUGCUCCUGGAACUACAUGUUGCUGAGAUCAUCCUCAUUAAAGCUGGGAAAAUUCCUUUCAGACUUUGCUUCACGACCUUGGUGACAGACAAGGGAAAGGAUGAGGGGGUGGUGUUUGAAAACUAAUGUUAUUCACCUGCCAGAGGUGAUAAAAAGUUACCUCUUGAAACAAAAGAUGGUCUGCUUAGAGUUGGGAAGAUGGCUAGUCUAACCUAGAAGAAAUGAACUGGUCACUUGGUGCUGAUUUCACAAUAAAGAGUAUCUGUAACAUCAAGGUAUUUGCACUCAUGUUACAGUAAUCUCUAAGUCAACGGGGCUCAAGCUUACUGUGGCCAUUAAGGACUCAGUGGAUCUUUCCUCUUCUGAUUAUCAUCCCUAGGAGGCCUGGAUUUGUGCAUGCUGUUUCCCAGUUUGAACCUAAACUGGGGGAAAUGCAAGAGAAGUGUUUGCUGCUGCAGGAAGUCCAGAGCCAAUCCCACUGUUAACACAUUCUCCUGCCCUGCAUCAGCACUGAUCAACUGCCUCCUCAUCCACCAACUUCAAUGCCACCGCCACCCUCACUUCAUGCUUUAGGCAGAUUUUGUGUUGCUGGGUUGGCCAAGAGUUAUCAAACAUUUCCCAAAAGCAAGACUUGAGGAAAAAGGACAGAUGAUUCCGAGUCUACAUAUGUAGCAAGGUAGGGGACAUAAAAAUUUAUAUGCAUAUCCUU